GCGGUCUCGGGCGCCGCAUGACGGUAUAUAAGACAGCCUGGGAUGGGCAGCCGUCACUUGCAUCCCAGUUACUCCUUUAUUCACUCUCCCUCACUCACUCAAGAACUCAUAAUCAUGAGGUGCCUACUUAUGGUGGUCUGCCUGGCUGUCAUGGCGGGUCGUGGCUCAGGGCUUGCUUAGGCGGCGCAUUUGGUUCUGGAUGGUGCAGUGGUGGUUAUGGCGGCUAUGGCAAACACGGUGGACCUUGGUGGCUUUGGUAUUGGAGGCGGCCAUGGCAAAUAUGGCGGAUAUAGCGGACUUGGACUUGGCGGUAUUGGCCGCGGCUUUGGUUUUGUAGGCGGCCAUGGUGGAUUUCACGGCGGUCAUGGGCCGCGGUUAUGGCGGUAAAUAUGGUGGUUACGGUCAUGGUGGGUAUGUUGGUUGAUAUGGUGGCUAUACGUAUGGAAAGUAAGGCACCAUACAACACACACACCAUGUCGCGACACCCCCUACACACCAUAACUAUGUGAGAAAGAUACAACCACUCCUGUGUUCGACAUGUAAGGAAUGAAAUAAAGUAUUUCUCUAUUUA